rnacentral:lncRNA from 1 species
UUUUUCUUUUUCUUUUUCUUUUCAAAUCCACACAACCAUGAGCAUUUUCUUUGCUUUUCUUUUUCUAAUUUUUUUUUAUUCUUUUUUUUCUUUUUUUUUAUAUGCUCUAUGGUUUCAAGGGUGAUUUCUUUUUCUUGUUUCUUUUCAUAUUUUCACCCUUUCAUAAAAACUCACUUUUCCAAGUUUCUAAUCAACUUUUC